UACGGAGGGGGCGAGCGUUGUCCGGAGUUACUGGGCGUAAAGCGCGCGUAGGCGGGGGGGUAAGUCCGCUGUGAAAGCCCGGAGCUCAACUCCGGAGGGUCGGUGGAUACUGCCCAUCUUGAAGGUGCUAGGGGGAGAUGGAAUUACCGGUGUAGCGGUGAAAUGCGUAGAGAUCGGUAGGAACACCAGUGGCGAAGGCGGUCUCCUGGAGCAUACUUGACGCUGAGGCGCGAAAGCUGGGGGAGCGAACGGG
rnacentral:rRNA from 1 species